AUCCUUUCAUAGUAUUUUUUUUUUCUUCUUAUUUUGUAGAAAAAGAAAACAAAUGAACAAUUUUAAAAAGAAAAAAAACCAGACAGGAGAUUAGUUCCAAAAGAUUAAGAAGACAUUGGAGGUUCUUCUCAUUCUCAAGGCUUGAGAGCGAGAGCAAACCCAACCUUGGCACUCUUCUCGAUCGCCUUAGAGUCAACCUCUCCAGAGAUGGUGAUGAACGACUUUGGACGCCACUCGUGCUGGAUCAGCGCGUUGGCUAUACCCGCAUUGUUCACGCGCGCCUUCACUGUGGUCAGUGGGUCAAGAGCGUGCUGAGUACCCACGGUUAUCGAGUUCACCUGGCUCUUCAAGUUAUGGCUCACCUCAGCUCCAACCACCGUGUUCUUCAACGGGUUCACUAUGUGGUAGUACGAUGCAUUCAAUUUCUCACCUUUGUCAUUCCUUUACAAAAAAAAAAACAAUUCAAGAAAGAUCAAACCCCAAAAAUAGAAAGUAGGACUGGUAGUGGAGGAGGCACUUACAGAGUAAGAGAAGCAAUCAAAUCAUCCUUGGUGAAGCUCACACCAGCAUUAAAAUGUUUGAAGUUGCCAGAUUCGGUGUCGAAGGAGACAUCGGUACCAAGAGCCAAGACACUGGUUCCAAUCACACCGGAGAAAUUGACAACGGGGUUAGCUGUCAAUCCAACGCUGGUGCAGAUACCUGCGUGUGGGUGCAGAUACUGGAGCUCAACCUGAGAACAAAACAAACAAAACAAUUGUUUUGUUAUAAAGAUUCAUAAAUAACAAAACUAUUUAAUAAACUAAUAAAUGAAAAUUAUUUAAAUUUACCUUGGCGGAUUUUUGAUCAGGCACCUUGGCGCUAACGAUUGUCUUCAAUCCAGGGGUAGCCUCAUCAUAGGUGAAAGUGGUCAGGAUCUGAAAGUAUAUACACGGAGAAAUGGUCAAAGAAAAUCUCUCUAAUAAUAGCUAUGUGAUGAUGGUGUUAAGUAAAUGCUUACAGAAGAAUCAGAGGCAACUUUGAUAUCAGCAGUGAAGUUCUUGUUCUUGACUUGGGUAGCUACAUCACCCACAAACAAAUCUCCCUUGUUUGUUCCACUUGUAGUGAUUGACUACAAAAAAAAAAUCAUCACAACACACAUAAAGUCUCUGACUUUUUUAUAACAAAGACUAAUCAACAUCACAUAAAGCUCAAAGCUUUAUUCCGACAGUGAUGAUGAACAGACAGAUAAAGACAAGAAUGACUUACAACACCGGUUGAAGAGUAAGUGGUGAUACUGAGCUUCUGGUCUCCUUGGUAGUCCUUGUAGAGAAGAUCUACAAUACAAUCCAAGGCAACAAAUUCAAAAACUCAUCCUACAAUCGAAACACUAUAUAUAGAUCGGUUGACAUUUUCCAGAUCCGCCAAGAAAACUCAAAAACAGCUAAAACAACGAGUGACCCAUUCAUAAUUAUACACAAAAAAAAAAAACAGAUUCGAUUAAAUCUAAGGAUAAACGAAACAGUAGCAGGCUCAUAAACAAGAAGAUUAACGAAUAAACAUGAUUGUUUAUUCAUCAUACCUCUGGCCUUUUUGCCGAUCUCGGUGUAGAGUCCUGGACCUUUACCCAUGAUUGUUUCUUGAAGAAGUUGUGAUGGAAGAAGACGAGAGAAGCAGAGAAGUAAUGGCUUUUCUUUCUUUUCUGGUUAAAAUGAGGAAGAAGAAAACCCUAUAUAUCUCUUUUUUUUUCCUCUUUAUCAAGCAAAAAUAUUUCAGCCGUUGGAUCUAUACUACUUGGUCGGUUUCCCUUUUUUACAACCGUUGAAUAGUUUAUUCUCCACUCACCAAGUAAUUUUAUUCAUUUAUCUCCUCGUCCAUUCUUCCAUUUUCAUUGCGUGGCACACAGGCCGGCUUCUCUUAUAUUUUUUACUUCUUCCCCAAAGUUAUCUUUAGUUAUAAAUCAUGGAGUGGAUUGCCAUUAACCAGAUCCGGUGUAAGACCGGCCCAAUACCUAGAAGAUGGAGAGAUGGCCGAAACCUAGAGAGAGGAGAGAGAGAGCCGACUUUAAGAAAAAAAAAAAAAAAAAAACUAGAGAGGCAAAUAAUCAAGAAAGAGACUUAUAUGGUUCAUCUUCAAAGAAGAUCCUUUCAUAGUAUUUUUUUUUUCUUCUUAUUUUGUAGAAAAAGAAAACAAAUGAACAAUUUUAAAAAGAAAAAAAACCAGACAGGAGAUUAGUUCCAAAAGAUUAAGAAGACAUUGGAGGUUCUUCUCAUUCUCAAGGCUUGAGAGCGAGAGCAAACCCAACCUUGGCACUCUUCUCGAUCGCCUUAGAGUCAACCUCUCCAGAGAUGGUGAUGAACGACUUUGGACGCCACUCGUGCUGGAU
rnacentral:lncRNA from 1 species